AUACGGAGGGUGCAAGCGUUGCUCGGAAUCGCUGGGCGUAAAGCGUACGCAGGCGGCGCGUUAAGUCGGGUGUGAAAGCCCGGGGCUCAACCCCGGAUGUGCAUUCGAUACUGGCGUGCUCGAGUUCGGGAGAGGGAAGCGGAAUUCCUGGUGUAGAGGUGAAAUUCGUAGAUAUCAGGAGGAACAUCAGUGGCGAAAGCGGCUUCCUGGCCCGAUACUGACGCUCAUGUACGAAAGCGUGGGGAGCAAACAGGAUUAGAUACCCUGGUAGUCCACGCCGUAAACGAUGAGUGCUAGCUGCCGGGAAUGUUUACCGUCUCGGUGGCGAAGCCAACGCAUUAAGCACUCCGCCUGGGAAGUACGGCCGCAAGGCUAAA
rnacentral:rRNA from 1 species